UACGUAGGGGGCAAGCGUUGUCCGGAUUCAUUGGGCGUAAAGAGCGUGUAGGCGGCCAGGCAGGUCCGCUGUGAAAACUCGAGGCUCAACCUCGAGAUGUCGGUGGAAACCGUCUGGCUAGAGUCCGGAAGAGGAGAGUGGAACUCCUGGUGUAGCGGUGGAAUGCGCAGAUAUCAGGAAGAACACCAACGGCGAAGGCAGCUCGCUAGGACGGUACUGACGCUGAGACGCGAAAGCGUGGGGAGCGAACAGG
rnacentral:rRNA from 1 species